AAGUCUUAGUCCGUAGGUGAACCUGCGGAUUGAUCAUUAACACGUAUCCAAGGUUAAACCCCCGUGAACCUUAACCCUGCUUUUAUGACGUUCGGAGAAAAGCUUAGGAAACGCCCUGGUAACUCACAUGUUUGUCAUGACUUCGAAGAACGCAGUGUGGAGAGAUGCGGGUCGCAGGCUUCGUUGCCCCGGUGUCAGGAUAUCUGCAGUUGAUAUCUAAAAGUGUCAUUUUUAUGAUUCGCUAGAUGAGGAGCCCCUUAUCUCACAUGUUUGUUAUGACUCUGGGCUUCCUCGCGACCGAUCAGACCGUUUUGGCCACAUUCCAAAAAUUUUCGGGAAGUCUAGGCUGUAAUGCCCUGGUGCAGAGGAACUGUUAACAAUGGAUAUCUUGGUCUC
rnacentral:misc_RNA from 1 species